AGCACCAAGGGUGAUUGUAAAUUUUGAUUUGGCGCGGCAGGUAGCCAUUCCAGCGCAAAAAUGCGCAGGAAAGCUUUUGCUGUGCUUGUAGGCAGGUAGGCCCCAAGCACUUCUUAUUGGCUAAUGUGGAGGGAACCUGCACAUCCAUUGGCUGAAAUCUCCGUCUAUUUGAGGCUGACUGAGCGCGUUCCUUUCUUCUGUGUUGCCUGGAAACGGACUGUCUGCCUAGUAACAUCUGAUCACGUUUCCCAUUGGCCGCCGUUUCCGGAAGCCCGCCCUCCCAUUUCCGGAAGCCUGGCGCAAGGUUGGUCUGCAGGUGGCCUCCAGGUGCAAAGUGGGAAGUGUGAGUCCUCAGUCUUGGGCUAUUCGGCCACGUGCCUGCCGGACAUGGGACGCUGGAGGGUCAGCAGCGUGGAGUCCUGGCCUUUUGCGUCCACGGGUGGGAAAUUGGCCAUUGCCACGGCGGGAACUGGGACUCAGGCUGCCCCCCGGCCGUUUCUCAUCCGUCCACCGGACUCGUGGGCGCUCGCACUGGCGCUGAUGUAGUUUCCUGACCUCUGACCCGUAUUGUCUCCAGAUUAAAGGUACGACAUUUGGAGGCCCCAGCGAGAAACGUCACCGGGAGAAACGUCACCGGGCGAGAGCCGGGCCCGCUGUGUGCUCCCCCGGAAGGACAGCCAGCUUGUAGGGGGGAGUGCCACCUGAAAAAAAAAUUUCCAGGUCCCCAAAGGGUGACCGUCUUCCGGAGGACAGCGGAUCGACUACCAUGUGGGUGCCCACAAAAAUUCCACCUCUGAGUCCUCAACUGCUGACCCCGGGGUCAGUAGACACGGGGUUUCACCAUGUUGGCCAGGCCGGUCUUGAACUUGUGACGUCAGGUGAUGCACCCGCCUUGGCCUCCCAAAGUGCUGGGAUUACAGGUCCAGAUUUUGAACAAAUCUCGCUAGAGAUUGAACAGAGCUGCGCCUGGAUCCCGCCACAGUGAGGAGACCUGAAGACCAGAGAAAACACAGCAAACGGAGUCUUGCUCUGUUGUCCAGGCUGGAGUGUAGUGUGGCGAUCUCGGCUCCCUGCAAGAAUCUGCCUCCCAGAUUCACGCCAUUUUCCCACCUCAGCCCCUGGAGUAGCUGGAAGUACAGGCUCCCGCCACCACGCCUGGCUAAUUUUGUUUUUGUAUUUUUAGUAGAGACGGGGUUUCACUGUGUUAGGUAGGAUGGUCUCGAUCUCCUGACCUCAUGAUCCAUCCGCCUUGGCCUCUCAAAGUGCUGGGAUUACAGGCAUGAGCCACCGCACCUGGCUGUUUUUUCAUUUCUAUUAUGAUUUGUUCUGUGGAAUGUCAGUGACUUAGCGGUGUUUUUCACAUGUUUAUAAAGCUGAAUAGUUCUGUAUGUCAGCUCAGCACCCCUAGUGUCAGUCAUGCUACUCUCCUGCUGUGCAUAGAUGGGGGCCUGUCCACACCCAAAUCUCCUGGGUUCCCGCUGUCCGCACCUGAAGGUACCCACCAGAUGUGUCUGUCACUGCCCUCCAUCCACCUUUCUUGUGGUUCUCAUGUUUCUGCCUCCCUAGAGACCAUUUCUCUCUACAGCAGUAGUUUCCAAUAGAAAUACAAUGCCAGACACAUACGUCAUUUUAGAUUUUCUAGUAGUCACUUUAGAAAAGUGAAAAAGAGGCCAGCUGCAGUGGCUCACACCUGUAAUCCCAGCACUUUGGAAGGCUGAGGUGGGUGGAUCACGAGGUCAGGAGAUCGAGACCAUCCUGGCCAACAUGGUGAAACCCCCUCUCUACUAAAAAUACAAAAAAUUAGCUGGGCGUGGUGGCAGGCGCCUGUAGUCCCAGCUACUCGAGAGGCUGAGGCAGGAGAAUGGCGUGAACCCGGUAGGCAGAGCUUGCAGUGAGCCGAGAUAGCGCCACUGCACUCCAGCCUGGGCGACAGAGGGAGACUCCAUCUCAAAAAAAAAAAAAAGGUUACAAAGAAACAGGUGAAAUUAGUUUUAUUUCACCUAAAAUGUUAGCAUUAUCCAAAAUAUCACUUCAACAUCUUAUCAAAAUAAAAAUUAUUAAUGAGAUAGCUUACAGUCUUUCUUUUCUUUGAGACAGGGUCUUGCUUUGUGGUCCAGGCUGGAAUGCAGUGGCACCAGCAUAGCUCAUUGCAGUUUCAGACUCCUGGGCUUGAGAUCCUCCUGCCUCAGUCUUCCUAGUAUUCGGACUACAGGCACACACCACCAUGCCACGCUAGUUUUUUUUUUUUUUUAAAGACAGGGUCUCACUCUGUCAGCCGGGCUGGAGUGCAGUGGCACAAUCUCGGCUCACUGCAGCCUCGAUCUCCGGGGCUGAAAUGAUCCUCCCACCUCAGCCUCCCAAGUAGCUGGGACCAAAAACAUGUGCCACCACGCCUGAAUAAUUUUUGUAUUUUUUUGUUAAGACAGGGUUUCGGCAUGUUGUCCAGGCUGGUCUUGAACUCCAGAGCUGAAGUGAUCCACCCACCUUGGCUUCCCAAAGUGUUGGGAUUACAGGCAUGAGCCACUGCACUCGGCCUAAUUUUUUUUUUUUCUGAAGAGAUGAGGUCUUGCUAUGUUGCCCAGUCCAGUCUCAAACUUCUGGCUCAAGCAGUCCUCCCGCCUUGGCCUUCCAAAGUGCUGGGAUUACAGAUGUGAGCCACCACACUGGCCCAUUCUUUCUUUUAUACUGAGUAUUCAGAAUUUUUUUAAAAUGUGUUUUCCACUUACAGCAUUUCUCAGGUUGGACUAGCCAUCUUUCAAGUGCUCAGCAGCCACAUGUGGCAAGUGGCUGCCUUAUUGGACAGCACAGCUCUGGAGGGUGAUUUUAUGUACAUCCCCACUGCUCUCUCUGCCUCCUUUAUUCCCAUCUACCCCACACCCCUGCAGUCUGUGACUAUCGUGUCCCUCUCUCCUCUCUUUCUGUCUCUUGUAAUUCUUUAAUAUGGAGAAUUAUUUCCAAUUCCUUAACAUCCUGCGCUGAUUUUUUUCUGUCUUACAUUCAAGGGUCACAGUUUUCCUCUCACCCUCAUUUCAGUCUUUUCCCAUAACACGUGACGUGCCUUUUUGUCUUGGUUGGGUAUUUAUUUGCAAUACAAGAAUGAUUGUUUUCUUUGAUACAUUAGUGACUUACAUAGUUUUCAUGUUUUUUGAGUACCUCUUUCUUGACAGAAUUUCAAAUUAAUUCUAGCGUUAAACUAGAAAUCUUUUUUUUUUUUUUUGAGACACAGUCUUCCUAUGGCAACCAGUCUGGAGUGCAGUGGUGCAAUCUCAGCUCACUACAACCUCUGCCUUCCAGAUUCAAGUGAUUCUCCUGCCUCAGCCUCCCGAGUACCCGGGAUUACAGAUGUGCACCACCAUGCCUGGCUAAUUUUUGUCUUUUUAGUAGAGACAGUUUUUUGCCAUUUUGGCUAGGCUGGUCUUGAACUCCUGACCUCAAGUGAUCUGCCUGCCUCAGCUUCCCAAAGUGCUGGGAUUACAGGGGUGAGCCACUGUGCCCAACCUAGAAAGCUUAUUUUAUUUUAUUAUUAUAAUUAAUUUUAUUUUUUUGAGAUGGAGUCUCGCUCUGUUGCCCAGGCUGGAGUGCAGUGGCGCAAUCUCUGCUCACUGCAAGCUCCACCUCCCAGGUUCACGCCAUUCUCCUCCCUCAGCCUCCUGAGUAGCUGUGACUACAGGCGCCCGCCACCACACCUGGCUAAUUUUUUGUAUUUUUCAUGGAGACAGGGUUUCACCAUGUUAGCCAGGAUGGUCUCAAUUUCCUGACCUCGUGAUCCACCCGCCGUGGCCUCCCAAAGUGCUGGGAUUACAGGCGUGAGCCACCGCGCCUGGCCUAUAAUUAAUUUUUUUGAGAUGGAGUCUUACUCUGUCUCCCAGGCUGGAGUACAGUGGCACAUCUUGGACCCCUGCAACCUCUGCCUCCUGGGUUCAAGCAGUUCUCUCUACCUCAGCCUCUCCAGUAGCUGGGAUUACAGGUGCCCACCACCAUGCCCAGCUAAUUUUUGUAUUUUUAGUAGAGAUGGGGUUUCACCAUGUUGGCCAGGCUGGUCUCGAACCCCUGACCUCAGGUGAUACGCCCGCCUCGGCCUCCCAAAGUGUGAGAUUACAGGCAUCAGCCACUGCACCCGGCCAGAAAGCUUAUUUUAAAAGAUUCACAGGCUGCUCCCUAGAAUACUGAAGAAGAAACUCUAGGAGUGAGACCCAACAAUCUGUAUUUAACAAGUCCCCAGGCCCCUGGAUCCUCCUGGAAUCCCCGAUCCCUCUUGCUCCCUGGCAGAGUUUUCUAGUCCCUCUUACUUGAAGCAUGUCUUUCAGAGCCCGGCACCACCCAUCUUGAGUAUCUGAUACCCCAUCAGCCUGAGUCUCUUAAAGGCCUUUAUACACAUAUGUCUACACAUAGGGAUUUGGAUGAUCUCGGGAUCCCACAUCCUCGCUGUCCCCUGUCCCCCCGCAACAUCCCCCACCAAUACCUUUCUGAAGUUUUCUAGUCCCUCCUUUUUGUUUGUGCUCCUUAAAGCCCAGCCCCAUGCCUGACUUUGGUUCCCAGUGAGCAUUGUACAUUUGUGGAUAUUAAAUCUUUGGCAAAGUCAUUUACCUGGGCUGGAAUAGGGCUCUUGGCUGAUUCUUUUUCCUAAACACCCACCCAAUGGGAGAGGCUGAUACUCAACAUGCAAACCUUGUGUUUUAUUUCUCCAGGCGAAGGGAUGUUGGAAGACAUUCUGGAAGGGGUGGGGUGUGAAGAUUUACAAAUAAUCUUUGAAUAUCUGCUUCAUGAUAGGUCUUGGAGGUGCCUUGUGGGUGUGGCUUUGGGGGGAUGGUUACGAGGAAAUUGUGGAUAUUAAGGAAGUCAGGAAAGGAAAAGAUCAGUCACAAUUCAACAAUUCAGAGAAAGCUCCUAAGGGACUUUCUGGCUGCUUGAUGCCCAGAGGCCAGGCCCUCACUUCGUAUUAAGGCUCAGGACUGUGGAUAGAGAAUUUAAAGGGGCACCAAAAAAAACAUUAAAAUAGAUAAACAUAUUUUUAAUGGAAUACCUUUAAAAAUGCAAAUCAAUGCACAAAGAAAACGCCCA
rnacentral:lncRNA from 10 species